rnacentral:lncRNA from 1 species
UAUACCCACACAAAAUCCUUCUCAUCAAACAAGGUGAUCAAAACAACACCAGCAAAAAGACCCUGUACACCUGCCAUAGUUGAACAAAAGAUAAAUACACUAGCAUAACCCAAUCACCUCCUCAAGGUCCUAAGGCUCAGGAAAAAUUAAAACCGUUCCCCAGUUUUGCAAAAAGUCUAUUCAACCGACAAACACAUGGAGCCAAAAAGGAUAAGGUGUAGCCACCCCUAUAGAAAGAUCCUCAGCAGCAACACCUGGAGGAAAGGGUGGGACAGUGAAACUGCUCUCAUCAGGCUCUAUAGUUGUUAUUUGAUGCCUCCUCGCGAACGUUGAGCAAGUUUUCCACCCUUCUUAUCCCUGUUUUCGCCAAGUUGUCAGCUUGUUGGUUGGCUUCCCUGAAUAUAUGUUGGACCUCCCAUUGGACUACUUUUCUUUUCAACAUCUCGAUGUGGAGGAUCCACUUUCUCAGCCUCCAUGGGGCUUUUUCGGGUGCAUUAAUCCACUGGACAGCAUUCUUGGAGUCACUUUCGACCACCAUUGUAUGAGUGCUUCUCCACCUUGAAGCUGAAAAGAGUAAAAAAGCUUCCCUUACUGCCAACAAAAGGCUAUUUGUUAUUGAUAUACAAAUAUCCCCUAGAUAAGUUAUUUUGCUGAGAAAUAUCAAAGUUGUGGCCUGUGUGGCUGAGCAUAGGUCUCAAUGAUUUCUUUUUUUUGGUUAACAUAUAGAUAAUUCUGAUUUGAUAUUGCAGCAAGCAUUGCCAAUUUUCUGCUGUAUAUGGACUGAUAGAGUGUCCUUUAGCUCUCCUUUGGGAACCUUAAUAUCAGUGCUCGCAAAUCCAGACAAUUGUUUAUCUAAGGUGAAAUUGGCUUGCUUUUUUCUUAGCCUCCAAGCUCUGGGGCAAGGGGGUUUUGCAUUUACAAGCUGUGAAUUACAAUUAAUGCAAAUAUAUGUAGUAUGAAAAUGGGGUACAGAAAACAAUCAAACAAAACCCUUCAACUUGCCAUUGGAUCUGUCACCAAUAGGCUAAAUACAUAAACAUCAGAAGUCUUUCCAUUGAGAAUGAGAUACUUCCUAAGGGUACCUUCCGUUUGGAACCCUGCCUUUUCCAAUACCCUCUGUGAGGCCUUGUUAUCCACAUCGACAAGACCUUGCACUCUCUCCACAUAUGGAAACUCCUUAAACACAAUUGGAACAACCAUUUUCACAGCUUUUGUGGCAAUACUUUUGCCCCAGUAUUUUGAGCCCAAAGCAUAGCUGAUUGAUCCUCUGCAUUUUUCAUUGGCAGAACAUGGCUUGACUGCUAUGAACCCAAUUGGCUUGCCUUCCAAACAAAUAGCACGGCACCAUGGGCGGGGAAUGACAACUUCCUUUAAGUAACUCAAUGCAUCUUCUCUUG